CAGACCCAGCAACUUAUCUUAAGAGAGUGUUGACUGAGACAUCCCUCAUGUACUAUGAAUUUGAUUCCUGGAGCUCACUCAAAGUGUACAGAGCCUUAAACACGUUUUACAAGACAGGAGGAUAUAUAGUCCUUAAUCAGAGCUGCAGCAGAAGAGAGGGAGAGACUGCAGGUGAACUUGCAAUAUCUACAAACAUAGAGAUCAAGUUAAGGACAAAGGCAGGUAUCGUUCUAUCCUGUUUGAAGGAGUUGAGGAUGCCUAUGCAAAAUGAUGGUGGUUAAAAGUAUUUUUCCCCACCCUGGAUUACCCGAGAAAUGAGAAUAAAUUACCUCACUUCAGAAAGAAAAGAAAAAAGAAAUCCUCAUCAAGGCUUUUGUGUCACAUUAAUUUUAAAAUAUGUUUUGUGAGAAAAGAUAAAGUUGGUGAUAAAUUGACUGUGUUGGGUUGAUUUUUACUCUAAAUCCACUCUGAAAGGAUUGCUAUAAGUCUUAUUAAAAUAGCAAAUAUUUUAAAAUGGUAAUGUAUGGCCUGUCUCUGCAAUGGAAACAAAUUAUACAUUCUAAGUGUAAGGAAUAGAAUUUUGUGCUAUUGCCAUUAACAAGUUAUUCCAGCAAAGGUGCUUUUGGAGUAAUCAGUUAUAAAAUGCACAUUAUUUGUAUUAUGGUAGAGACCUCAGGAGGGAUGAGGGCCUCCAAUUGGAAUGGACAAGUCAGAGAUUAAGAGAAAAGAUGCAUUAGUUUCGCCAUUUUACAGAUGGGGAAUUGAGGGAUUAAAUGUUGCACAAGGUCACAAAUUGGGUCAAACAUAGAGGGCCAUCCCUACCAAUUGCGGUGCCCUACACAACCCAAGAACCUGGGGAGAAGAGGAGAUGCACUCAAAGACUGCAAGGCUGGUGGUUCAAGGUCUGUGGUGGGCAGGUUCCAGAGGCUAGAGUUACAGGAGUCAGAAGCAGGGCAGGAGGCUCACCUGAUAACAGGAGAGAUGAUGGGAGGCCCAGGUGGCAGCAAGAAUGACUGUUUCUUCUUCCUUUGUGGAAAUAGCUGGUGAGCAGCAACCACCCAACCUCUGCAUUUUGCAGCCUGGGCGAGAACUGAUGGGGGCCGAUGUUGACAGCGGGGAUUGGGCCUGCCCCAGCACUCAUCAGUGGUGGAGGUAAAUGGAGAGAUCCAGCGCCAGCCUGCUCUGUUCCCCAGCUCCCAGACAAGGACUGGAGGGGUGUGUGGAACCAUCCCCCUUCAUUCCUUGGCAAUGGGAGGGGGAGAAAUACAGAUGGGAGCUGUGAUUACAGGAGCACAGUGGAUUGGUGCCAGAUUGCUCCAUUUCUUGCCACUGAUAGUGAGUGUGAGGUGUGGGGGUGACCCCGAUGUCAGAGUCAGCCAUCCCUUGAUGGUCCCCUGGGCAGCAUGUCUUGGGAGAGGAGGUGGAAUGGGGGCAGGGCAGAGGGUGUCCCAGGCCCCACACAACCCUGCUGAGAUCAGGCUGGGGAGGGGAAAGCUAGAGGAUGGGGCUGGCAGCUGAAGCCAGAGGUGAUGCAUAUGCCAUGUACUGCUGUGUAGGGCCCCAUGAAAUAUGGGACAAUGUGGUGCCCCAAAUUUCAUGGUUCCCUAGGCAGCUGGGUACUUUUCAUAUUGGUAGGGAUGGUACUGCAAGGGGGGUUACACUGUGAUAUGCCACAACUCAUUUUGUAAAGGUGUGGAAGAUGUCCAGUAUAGGCAAUUCAUGGUGAAGGAGUAUGCUGAUUAUAUAACAUGAAUCAGUAGAACAUUUAAAGGAGAUAUUUUUUAGUGGAAUGGAAAUAGGGGAAGUUCAGAAUUUCUGUGAUGGUACUGCAGAAGGUUGCAACUCUUCAAAGGGGGUGGGGAAUUGCUGAGGACUAAGCAGUGGGUUGGUUGAAGAUCCAGCUAGGUAAAGAGGAAAGGCUGACUGCUGUGCCUCCUCCCUGGUAUAUGUAAAUUAUUGAAUUGUCUUCACUAUACACUUUAUCUGCCAGGUACUCCCUGACAUUUAGGAAUAAAGUUGUAUCCUAAAUUAAACCUCAUGUUCUGGCAUCCACCUUUUUAGAAGGUCUUCUAAGCCUCAACCUAGCCUUUACCACUAGCAGGAUCAUUUUCAAAGCCGGGAAGAGCUUUCACAGUUGUGAUGUGAUUAUUUCUAUGGCUACUAGAAAAUUAGUACAGAUAUUCCCUUUUAAAAAAAAAUCAUUGCAAGCCAAAUUUUGCUAACAUGAAUAUUCAUGGAAAAUAAA